AUCUCUUUCCUCCCUCCCUCCUCAGAUCUGCUAAGGUAUCACGACCUUUAGUGACCUUAGUAAACUAGUGGGGAGGACUCGUUAACUAAUACACAGCGACAUCUUCAUCCUAAAACCAUGUCAACAACAAGCAUGAACCAAGGAAUGCUCUAAACUCUUACUCAAUUCAACUUAAGUUUGCACAUCUGUGAAGAAACUGAAGCCUUUAAAAGUAUUUCUCAUAAAAGCACACACAACUAAGAUUAUAUCUCCUAAGUUUCAAAAAAAAAAAAAAAAGUAAGCUUGAGGCUUGAUCCAGAUCUGAGCACACUUCCAGAUUAGGAACGCUUCCAGCAAACCAUCCAAACCGGCAAGGCAGCACAGGCCAUAUCCAUCCUCUGCACGAAUACCCAUCCUCUUCUCACAUCUUUCCCAGUUAUUAAAGUCCU
rnacentral:lncRNA from 1 species